AGCAGCCGCGGUAAUUCCAGCUCCAAUAGCGUAUAUUAAAGUUGUUGCAGUUAAAAAGCUCGUAGUUGAAUUUCGGGAUUGACACAUCGGUCGUGCCUUAAGGGGUAUGAACUGGUGUAGUCAAUUUCUCACCUUCUGGAGAACCGCGAUGCCCUUAAUUGGGUGUCGCGGGGAACCAGGACCUUUACUUUGAAAAAAUUAGAGUGUUUAAAGCAGGCAUUUUGCUUGAAUACAUUAGCAUGGAAUAAUAAAAUAGGACGGCAUGAUUCUAUUUUGUUGGUUUCUAGGAUCACCGUAAUGAUUAAUAGGGAUAGUUGGGGGCAUUAGUAUUCAAUUGUCAGAGGUGAAAUUCUUGGAUUUAUUGAAGACUAACUACUGCGAAAGCAUUUGCCAAGGAUGUUUUCAUUAAUCAAGAACGAAAGUUAGGGGAUCGAAGACGAUCAGAUACCGUCGUAGUCUUAACCAUAAACUAUGCCGACUAGGGAUCGGAUGAUGUUAAUUUUUUAAUGACUCAUUCGGC
rnacentral:misc_RNA from 2 species